UACAGAGGAUGCAAGCGUUAUCCGGAAUGAUUGGGCGUAAAGCGUCUGUAGGUGGCUUUUUAAGUCCGCCGUCAAAUCCCAGGGCUCAACUCUGGACAGGCGGUGGAAACUACCAAGCUGGAGUACGGUAGGGGCAGAGGGAAUUUCCGGUGGAGCGGUGAAAUGCGUAGAGAUCGGGAGGAGCACCGGUGGCGAAGGCGGUUCUCUGGGCCUGUACUGACGCUGAGGAGCGAAAGCGUGGGGAGCGAACAGG
rnacentral:rRNA from 1 species